CUUUUACUAGCAAUAGAAGUGAGAAAAAUAGGGAGUAGAAAAAAUUUUUUGCUCUACCUAAUUUAGUUCUUAUAAAUAAUUUCUUUCCACCAAAAAAGAAUGCAAUGAAGGUUUUCCAACUCAUUCUUUUGUUCCAGAGAUUUAUUGCUGUGAAAAUGUUAGCUCUCAUCUGAUUUAGUGUCUGGGUGGUGGUGUCCUCUGGUAGAAAGAGGAAUCCCUUGACAAGCUCAGGCAGUCUUGGCCCCUGGAGGUCUUCCAAUAAUUAGAGUCAAGCAAAUCCUUGGAGGAAACCAGUAAGUCUGAGAAGCAUUCCUCUUGUCUCUCUGUCGUCCUCUGCGCACUUGGAGUUAUUCUGAUAAAGCCACUCUGUGUCUCAAGGACUCAGCUUGCUAAGCUGUUGAAACUAAGGUAGAGAUAAUUGACGGGAGAUGAAAAGGCCUGGAUGCUGGGCUGGAAGUACUGGGGGUGUGAGCAGUUCUGAGCUGUGAGCUGCAGUAUCAUUAAAGACAGAAGUGGACAUCUUUUGAGUCUUGCCAAUAACCAACAUGAACGGAGAGGUGAGAAGACUCCACCCCACUGCUAACUGAGGUGCUAAAUGAGAAGAUAAUGCUACCUCACCUGACUGUACGUCACUGCCCUCUAAAUUCUGUUGAUUCACGGAUUACAGAGAAAGGAGAUGAACACACUCCUCCCCACUUUCUGGGAGCCCAGUCUGGCCACAUUUCCAGCUGUGAGCAAGUGGUAGAUGUCCUCAGCCUGUGCGUGUUGAUGUUUCACACAUGCUGAGAUUCAGAGACAGGAGGGCGCCCCUCCUACAGCCAAUUUCCAGAGAAGGGCAGGAUUCAGAUUUCCUUUUCAGCCAAUGAUGAGACUAAGGUUAACUUGAAAAAUGAUCCAGGACGCAAAAAGAAUUGAAAACACUUUGGCAGGACGAAGUGGCUAACGCCUGUAAUCCCAGCACUUUAGGAGGUCGAGGCAGGCAGAUCACCUGAGGUCAGGAGUUCGAGACCAGCCUGAAUAACAUGGUGAAACCUUGUUUCUACUAAGAAUACAAAAAUUAGCCCAGCGUAGUGGCGGGUGCCUGUAAUCCCAGCUACUCAGGAGGCUGAGGCAGGAAAAUCGCUUGAACCCAGGAAGCGGAGAUUGCAGUGAGCCGAGAUAGCACCAUUGCACUCCAGCCUGGGCGACAGAGCAAGGCUCCAUCUUAAAAAAAAAAAAAAAAAAGAAAAGAAAAUACACCAAAAAAAUAUGGCAAGCAAUGUUUUCAUGUAAACCCUGAUUUACUUCAGGCACUCAUCUGAAGUGUUGGGUGUACACGAUUUGUGGAACUUUUUAAUGGCAAGAUGAUCAUUGGCCAAAACACCAAUGUACCAAAUUUCUUUGGGCCCGUGAAAUAUGAAUGGGCCUUGUCUACACGUCCUCUUGUGACUCUUUUUGUCCAUGCUCUCCUUGAGGUCAAAGGUGAACAGGUUUCAAGCCUCCACUCAAAGGAAGGCUCCUUCAGGGUUCCCCACAGGCUCCCUCAUAAUUGGAUACAAUAACUCUGACUUGGCACAGUCUGGUUCCUUGUCCAUGUUGGCAUCCCAGCUCAAUGUCUGUUAGAACCACACAUAAAAUCCACACAACAUCUCUAGUGUGCUCUGUCCACUGCCUCUGCGAGUCUUCCUGAAUGAGAUUGCCCACAUCAUGUGUUCUGAUGCUUGGAAAGCCUGACAACUGCUUUACAAAGAGGCAAAAGCAAACAUCAACACCCAAUACCAUGCGUAUUAGUCCAUCCUCACACUGCUGUAAAGAAAUACCUAAGACUGGGUAAUUUAUUUAAAAAACAGAAUGAAUUGGCUCACAGUUCUGCAGGCUGUACAGGAAGCAUAGCAGCGUCUGCUUCUGGGGAGGCCUCAGGAAGCAUCUAGUCAUGGCAGAAGUCAAAGGGGGAGUGAGCCCUUUCCAUGGCCAGGGCCGGAGGAAGAAGAGAUCUCAUGAGAACUCGCUCACCAUAAACAACCAGAUCUCACGGGCAUUCACUCACUACACAGCAGCUAGGGGGAUGAUGAUGAACCAUCCGUGAGGAAUGCACCUCCAUGAUCCAAUCACCUCCCACCAGGUCCCACCUUCAACACUGGGAAUUACAUUUCAACAUGAGAUUUGGGUGGCAACACAGAUCCAAACCAUAUCACCAUGGGCCCAGAAUGUUCAUUUGUGGCUUUGGGAAAGAAAGAACCAUAGAUAGGUCAUUUGUAACUUUCCUGCAUGGAGUUACAAAUACUUGGGUUGCUUGUAUUCCAAAGCUUCUCGAUCACUUCUCAUAUGGUUUGGCUGUGUCCCCAUCCAAAUGUCAUCUUGAAUUGUAAUUCCUACGUGUUGUGGGAGGGACCUGGUGGGAGAUAAUUGAAUCAUGGGGUGCUGACUCCCCUGUAUUGUUCUCAUGGUAGUGAAUAAGUCUCAAAAGAUCUGAUGGUUUAAUAAGUGGUUUCCCCUUUCACUUGACUCUCAUUCUUUCUUGCCUUGUAAGAUGUGCUUUUAUCCUUUUGCCAUGAUUGUGAGGCCUCCUCAGCCACGUGUAACUGUGAGUCGAUUAAACGACCUUUUCUUUAUAAAUUACCAAGUUUCAGGUAUGGGGUCGAAGCCCCCACACAGAGCCCGCAUUGGGGCACUGCCUACUGGAGCUGUCAGAAGAGGGCCACUGUCCUCCAGACCCCAGAAUUGUAGAUCCACCAACAGUUUGCACCGUGCACCUGGAAAAGCUGCAAGUACUCAGUGCUAUCCUGUGAAAGCAGCCAGGAGAGGGGCUAUACCCUGCAAAGCCACAGUGGCAGAGCUGCCCAAGACCAUGGGAACCUAGCUCUUGCAUCAGUGUGACCUGGAUGUGAGACAUGGAGUCAAAGGAGACCAUUUUGGAACUUUAAGGCUUAAUGACUGCCCUAUUGGAUUUUGGACUUGCAUGGGGCCUGCAGCCCUUUUGUUUUGGACAAUUUCUUCUAUUUGGAAUGGGCGUAUUUACCCAAUGCCUCUACCCCCGUUGUAUCUAGGAAGAAACUAACUUGCUUUUGAUUUUAUAGGCUCAUAGGUGGAAGGGACUUGCCUUGUCUCAGAUGAGACUUUGGACUGUGGAAUUUUGAGUUAAUGUUGAAAUGAAUAAAG
rnacentral:lncRNA from 1 species